rnacentral:rRNA from 1 species
GCAAGUCGAACGAUGAAGGCGGGAGCUUGCUCCUGCUGGAUUAGUGGCGAACGGGUGAGUAACACGUUAGUAACCUGCCCUUGACUCUGGUAUAAGCGUUGGAAACGACGUCUAAUACCGGAUACGAGCUGGGAUCGCAUGGUCACUAGCUGGAAAGAACUUCGGUCAAGGAUGGACUCGCGGCCUAUCAGCUAGUUGGUGGGGUAAUGGCCCACCAAGGCGACGACGGGUAGCCGGCCUGAGAGGGUGACC